rnacentral:lncRNA from 1 species
UGACUUGUGGAGCAGAGAGCACUGGCCUUUGGCUUCAUGAGCCUGGAAGAGUGAGACGUUAAGGGAGAUGGAAUCGUGAGGAUGACGGGUGCUGCUGACAGACCUCCAACCCGAGACUCCCAGGGGCAGACGACCUCACUGGAUGUGCCCUCCUUUGUUCCCAUAACUGGCUGGCUACUGGAGAAGUGUCCCUCUUCCAACCAGGCCUAUGGUUUUUUUCAGGGCAUCAACAUCGUGUGCGGAGGUGUGAUGGGCUCCCCCUCAGAAGGAAGCAGGGAGGAAAUGGGAGUGACCACUAGGUGGCCCACCUGGGGUCAAGGAGGGGACGGAGCUGGGUGUGUGUGCAGACACCCGUCAGAGAGGGACCAGAGUUGCCACCAGAUUCAGAGUCAUAGGUCCGUCCAUAAAACACACAGAGCUGCUGAUGCAGGCACUUCCCCCAGACUGGGGCAACCAAUGCCCCUUACUGGGAGAGUGUGGCUUGGGGCAGCCCUGGCCUGAGGCCCCUCUAACCCCUCUACUGCCCCCUGGCUGGUGUCAGACCUGGGGACCCAGAGGACCCCCAGCUGAGUGUAGGCCAGUACUUUACUUUCCUUCAGGGAAAGAGUGGAGAAGAGACAGCAAAGGGGAGGAAAAGUGGCAUGUAGUCCGUUCACAGAAGCCAUACACCUUUCUAAAGGGGGAAGGAUGGGGCCUUUCUGCCAGCCCUGUCAUUCGCCCAUCAGAAACGUCUGGGACAUAAGGCUGAAUCUCCAGCCUUUUCUGCCUCGAAUUCUACUCGUGCACUUCUUUCUCAGGGGAUGAGCAAGAAGACAAUGGAGCGUUCCCGCUGCUCGCUUGCUCUGCAGUGAGAUGCAGUGUGUUGUUCUGGGAGGACGGCAGUAAUGCAAAAACCAAUCCAGCACAUUCCAUGCAUGGGAAAGGCAUUGAAAAUACUUACAAUAGCGAAUUUUUCCUUUAAGCCUAAGCGUAAGUGACUUUUCUUUGGGCGACCGCUCCCAUUGGACGGCUUCAGGACCGCCUUCUGCAGUCAUUCAGGUGUGAAAUGUGCCUUUAAUAUGCCUUUCUUUCCCACUAUUAUGCAAAGUAGUUAUUUUCGGCUAAGAUCAAAUAUGAAAAACUACAAUGUAAAGAAAAAAACUUGAAAAGUGUACGUAUAAAAGGAGUGCAUAUGCCUUAUUUUGUAAUGUUGAGCUCUAAGCUGAGUCAUUGAUCUAGAAGUUGGGGUACAAAGUUACGUUUAUUCAGACGAUUUGGCCAAGCCGGUUGGGGAGCAAAGUGCUGUCUGGGGCACAAUAAUAACAUUGGUGGAAGAGAGAUACCUGCUUCUGUCUCUCACUAUGCCCACAAUGGGUGAUGACACCAGGGAAGCUGCCCUCCUGUUAUGCUAACAGGCAAUGUUAGCAGAACAUGAAAACACACCAGAAGCGUCAAAGGUAUGUAUGUGGUGGGGGGGAGGGAAAGCGGUUUUCCUCUGAGCUUAAUCUGCCCAAAGUAGUUGCCGAGGGAAACGAACAAAUCAGAAUUCAUCAGGAAACCCAGCUCUUUCCUAAGGUGUAGGCAUGUGCCGGUGGGGAAGCCCAGUGGGGAUUCAAAAUUUCUGGAAUUAACUAAUCCGGGGCUGCACCUCAGACACUGCUUCAAACUCAGAUAAUUCCUUCUUGGCCAAUUUGCUCUGCUCUCAGACUUUUAAAAAAUCAAUCCCUUCAAAGUCAGUCAAUCCUAGGAAUGUUCUAGAACUCUCGGUGUUUGCGUCAAUUCCCUGUCCGCUCUGUCCCUACAGCUCUGCCUGGUCCAGCUUCUUUGCCUUUGAGAUUUUGGCCCUAGGGAUCCCGGGGGCUUCACUCAGCAUUGCCCCUGCCAGGCCAACUGCAGGGUGGGGGGUACCCCAACUGCAGCCGCUGCGGUGGCUCCCCUGUGAGUGGGAACAAGUAAUUAAGCCCACACAGAGAAAGGCGGCUCUCCUAGAUGAAUCCCCACCCCUCCCUGAGCCGCCUCACAAGUGCAGAUGGCAUUUAAUGUCUUCCAGCUCUCCCAAGGAAAUCCACUCUGGAAACCUUCAUUUCAGUUGUCCGGCAAAAGCAUCUUCAAGCACUUUGCCCUCCAGGACACCCUCCUCCCUGCUGCCGCUUGCGCUCGGUGAAAGCGCGGAGUCCCCGCCGCUUGCCGACCACUAAUGAGAAAAUUCCUCCGCGUUCGUCUCUAGGGCCCGACCCCCGGAGACACAAAUCCUCUUUGUGUCCAGCUUAUCUCCAGCUGCUGCCAUGAUAAAUAGUCCAGCUCCAGGGAGCCUGGGGAAGCGCUACCCCACAGAACGAAGCACAGAGGGAAGCGAGCUUGAGGAAAUAUUUUAAGGACCAACUCAGACACAUCAGGCUACUUUCUCUCUCGUGGGAGGUGCCUGAGGAAUCUGCCCCUCACCAAGCAGGAAACACUGCCAGUAUUUCUCCCUUGGAAAAGACAAAAAAUGCCCCAAAGCAAAAAGCAGUCGACCAAAAAAAAUGCAACUUUUGUGUUUUACAGUGGUUUCCAGUGUCAUCGGCUUAGCCACCAUCUCCUCCUCGGUAUGGUCUCUACACUCUGGUUUAUUCUGUAAUUCCUGUGGGUUUGGUCUGGUGUGUAAGCACAGCCUGCUUCAUGGGCUAACUCAUGGCAACUUAACAGCAUCUCACUGGAGCUACCGUGGAGUAGUUCUGGUCAGUGCAGGCCACCACAAGGCCAGUGGAGGGGCAGCCUGGCCUUUGCCAUGGAGGGACAGGGAACUCCACCAGCCCUGAGUAGGGCUUGCAGCUUCCGCCUGUGGAUGAACUCCUUCUGCGUCCUGAGCCCACAACAGAUGGACCCAAUGGCUGGAUAGGAGAACCCAGAACAAGCUUGCAGCACCUUCCCCGUCAGUCUCUAGGUAUCUGGUAAAUUCUGUUUGUCAGCCUUCCUUGCUCAUUUUAAAUCCUGGGUCCUCUAUGUCAAGAGCUGUCAAAAAUUCUUUGCAGCAUACCUGAUGAAUUCCCUUUAGGCCAGGCGGUGGUGUGACAUUUCCAAGAGCUCAGUCUUCUGGACAGGCUGUGUAGGUCGUCUGGGAAGUGAUCUCAGGCAUAACAAAGUCGAGGGACAAGGCUGUGGUCAUGGUCAGCCUCCCUGCCCAUGCCUCUCUCCACAUCCCCCCAGUUCAUCAAUCAAUGAUUAUGUAAGUAGUACAGAUACGACUAGGCUGGGGACUUUUCUGGGAAGCACUUGGGAGAGGGGUGAGCUGGGCUCUCUGUGCUCCAGACCAUCCACAAUCCAGCCCAGUCAACUGUGCCAGCUUCAUCUGCUACCACUGCCUCUAUGUUCCGGUACCUCAUUACCCCAAACUGUUCAGAAUCACUUCUGUGUCUUUGUUCAAGGCCAUCCAUCUGCCUGGUCACUCCUGCCUUCCUUUCUCUUCUCUCUGACUUUGACAAGAUAUGUUAAUUUAGCCUUCAGAUUUCUGCUCAGCAGGCACCCCUUCCUCUGGGAUCCCUGCCCAGACACCACCCCCAGCUACUCCUCUGCUCCCCAGUAGCACCUGGUGCAUUUCUCCGUUGUGGCACUUGCCACAUGACAUGGAAAGGAGCUGCCUGCUGGUAUCUCUUCCACAAGUCUCUGAGCAUCUCAAGGGCAGGGGCCUUAUUAUCUUCAUCUCUGACCCCCCGCAGUCCCCAGAACUGCACCUGGCACAUCACAGGAGCUUGAUAAAUUUGAAAUGAACUCAACUUGUCAUUUAAUUUGGAAAAUUAUAUAUGUAUAUAUAAAUACACAUACACACACACAAUCUAGUGCUAAGUGGCAUGGUGUAGACCAAAUCCACCCGUUUCACCCUCCUUCCUCAGGACCUCCACCCACAGGUGGUCUCUGCAGCUGAUCCACUGUAGAGAAGGAUGGAGAAAGGCCAUUUUUAAAGUGGAAAAUGAUUAAUGGGCCUCUGUGUAGCUCAUUUCUCUCCAGCCAGAGCCUUCAUGAACUCUGCUCCCUGAACAGGUGUCCCCUUGCCAUGGAGCCAGCAGAAGCAGGUACUUAGGUCCAGCCUAAUGUAAGAAGAAGGGUCAGACUCCAGUGCCAGGCACCUGCCCACCUCUAGUCAUUGCUCCUCCAGCUGCUCUUAAUUCCAGUUCUUAAUAUUCAUACUUUACCAUCUAGGGCUUCGUUAUUAAUUGGUGCUUUAUUAUUCUAUUUCUAAAGCUCUUAUGUAUUCCAGGAAUUGAGCUAAUCAAUUUACAUUCAUUAUCUCCCUUGUUUUUCUCAAUAGCCCUGCAAGGGAAGUCCUCUUAAGCCCCCUCACCUUUUUUUUAGACCCCUCACCUUUUUUUUAGAUACAGACAAUACCUUGCUGCAUUCAAAGAAUUCACAGACAUGAGCUCAUUAAUCCUUGUAUCUUGUGAGAUGGUCUUUUUCAGCCCUAGUUUACAGAUAGGUAAACUAAAACUGAGGUGAUGACUAAGCAGACUGCCCAAGUCUUACAACAGUAAAAAGGCAGAGCUAGACCUGAGGGCCUAGGUUUUUAGACCUAAGGAGCAGACGGCUUUCCCACCACCACGUGGUUCUUCUGUUUUCAUCAUACCCAUCUGACAAAAAUGUGCAGGAAAUGUUCAUGGCCCAGAAACAUCUUGUGGAGUGGGACCUUCUCUAGGGGUGAAUGCAGUUUCAUUAAAUGCUGAAUAUUCAUGUAGGAUAGGUAUUUAGAAACCCAUUCACCAACUCUGUAUUUUACAGAAGAGGAAACAGAAAAGACUCUGGUUUUUCAGUGUUAACCUGUGCUGGCAUGGUCUCUGAUUCCCCGCAUAACUCUAUGAGCGAAGGAAUCCAAGACCCA